CUCGUAGUUGGAUCCGGGCAGUCGACGCGCGGUGCGCCGUAAGGUGUUACUGCGUGCUUGUCGCCACUAUCCGGCCUUGUCUUUCAUGUUCUUCACUGAGCGUGAUCGGCGACCGGGACGUUUACUUUGAAAAAAUUAGAGUGCUUAAAGCAGGCAUACGGCCUUGCAUAAUGGUGCAUGGAAUAAUGGAAUAGGACCUCGGUUCUAUUUUGUUGGUUUUCGGAGCUCGAGGUAAUGAUUAAGAGGAACAGACGGGGACAUUCGUAUUGCGGCGUUAGAGGUGAAAUUCUUGGAUCGUCGCAAGACGAACUACUGCGAAAGCAUUUGUCAAGAAUGUUUUCAUUAAUCAAGAACGAAAGUUAGAGGUUCGAAGGCGAUCAGAUACCGCCCUAGUUCUAACCAUAAACGAUGCCAACCAGCGAUCCGUCGGUGUUCAUUCAAUGACUCGACGGGCAGCUUCCGGGAAACCAAAGUGCUUAGGUUCCGGGGGAAGUAUGGUUGCAAAGCUGAAACUUAAAGGAAUUGACGGAAGGGCACCACCAGGAGUGGAGCCUGCGGCUUAAUUUGACUCAACACGGGAAAACUUACCCGGCCCGGACACUGUAAGGAUUGACAGAUUGAGAGCUCUUUCUUGAUUCGGUGGUUGGUGGUGCAUGGCCGUUCUUAGUUGGUGGAGCGAUUUGUCUGGUUAAUUCCGAUAACGAACGAGACUCUAGCCUGCUAAAUAGCCGGCCGAUCUUAAGGUCGGUCGCUAUACGCUUCUUAGAGGGACAGGCGACCUUUAGUCGCACGAGAUUGAGCAAUAACAGGUCUGUGAUGCC
rnacentral:rRNA from 1 species